CCCUUAGAUGUUCUGGGCCGCACGCGCUCUACACUGAUGCAUUCAACGAGUCUAAAACCUGGUCUGAUAGGGCUGGGUAAUCUUUUGAAUGUGCAUCGUGAUUGGGAUAGAUGAUUGCAAUUCUUCAUCUUCAACGAGGAAUGCCUAGUAAACGCAAGUCAUCAGCUUGCAUUGAUUACGUCCCUGCCCUUUGUACACACCGCCCGUCGCUCCUACCGAUUGAAUGUUCCGAUGAAUACCAUGGACUGAGAGUAUGAAUGGGUUCGCCUAUUUCUGCUUCUCGGGAAGUGGAGUAAAUCUUAACAUUUAGAGGAAGGAGAAGUCGUAACA
rnacentral:rRNA from 1 species